GAAGUUUCGAGUUUCGGAGUUGUAAAUUUUGGGUUGGAAUAUAUUUGCAGACAUUCCUUGAGUUGUUUCUUUUUUUUACUUUUAACCUACUUGCAGUCAGACCAUAUCACUAGAUUGGCUCCUCUACUCAUUGGUACCAAUAGAACAAACACAGCGAUAACUAAAACUCUGCUCAAUCAGGUACAAUCUACAAUGUUCCUCAGGUAAUUUGUAACAUCAUAUAUCAUUUGUGAAGGUAAAUCUCUCAUAGUUAUCAUUUGUUAUUAUUCCUGUGUUUUUCAUAAUCUCUAGAUUUUCAGAAAUUGUAAGUUGAUACCUUGCUGAGCAAUAUUAUUCCUUUUCUUUGGGUGAUUCAGGAAGUACCAUUCUUUCUAGGAACCAAACUAACUUCAUGCAGAAAUUGUACCAACUACAAAAACGAGUAUAGGGUGUUACAAGUACUGAUAUUGAAGUGAUUUUGGUUAAUUCAAAUUUUUGCUCUAUUCAGAAUUGAAAUAAUUAGUUUUAAUACUGAAGGCUAUUUCUAUAUUCACUAACUCCUCUUUUCCUUCUUCUUAGUGAAGUUGCUUCAAGAAAUUCAUACUAGAGUUUGCAAUUUGGGUGUGAAGCAACUGCUUCAGCAAUCUCAUAGUUUUUCCUUUUGUUUUCCAUCACUUUCAGCAGAGUAGGUACUAUUUAAGAUUGAGAUUGAGACAGACUGCAUCCAGGAAGCAAAGGCUCAAGCAAUGAGUCCACCCUUUUUGUUGAGGUAAAGAGACAAACUAGGAUUAAGUGAUUCCAUGGUGAAACUAUUUAGCCAUGGCUCCAAGAUGUUAGAAGAAAUGAAGGAAGAAAAAGCAAGAGUGUGAAAGUGAGUGAGGAGGACAUUUGGUCGAAGAAGCAUGCAAAAUUAGAAGGUGGGGACAAAAAAGAAGCAAAGCCUC